rnacentral:rRNA from 1 species
GAUGAACGCUGGCGGCGUGCUUAACACAUGCAAGUCGAACGAAACACCUCAUUUGAUUUUCUUCGGAACUGAAGAUUUGGUGAUUGAGUGGCGGACGGGUGAGUAACGCGUGGGUAACCUGCCCUGUACAGGGGGAUAACAGUCAGAAAUGACUGCUAAUACCGCAUAAGACCACAGCACCGCAUGGUGCAGGGGUAAAAACUCGGGUGGUACAGGAUGGACCCGCGUCUGAUUAGCUGGGUGGUGAGGUAACGGCACACCAAGGCGACGAUCAGUAGCCGGGUGGGGAGAGUGAACGGCCACGUUGGGACUGAGACACGGACCCAACUCCUACGGGAGGCAGCAGUGGGGAAUAUUGCAGAAUGGGGGAAACCCUGAUGCAGCGACGCCGCGUGAGUGAAGAAGUAGUUCGGUAUGUAAAGCUCUAUCAGCAGGGAAGAAAGUGACGGUACCUGACAAAGAAGCCCCGGCUAACUACGUG